GCCGCCUUAGCUCAGUUGGUAGAGCAGCACUUUCGUAAAGUGAAGGUCCCCGGUUCAAAUCCGGGAGGCGGCU
rnacentral:tRNA from 1 species